rnacentral:lncRNA from 1 species
AUGUGGGGCUGCAGCUGUAGAAGAAAUGGGAUGAGAUGGAAGAGCUACAGCAUGUGCCUUGGGGCAUCCUGCCCUGGGGGUGCUGCAGCUCCUUUGGAGCACCUUGCAAAGGGCAUUUGUGCAUCUCUGCCUCUCCUGAAGCUGGAAAUGUACAGACUGUGCUCAUCAGGACUGAGGCUGAGGGUGAAGUGCAGCGUAAGGUCGGUGUCUGCUGGGGAGUCAGUCCCACUCAGCCCCGCUGUGAGCGAUGCCCCUGGGCCCGGCCUAAAAGUCUUCCACGGGGCCCUGACCCCCUGCCUGGGGGCACCGCUCUGCUGCUCGGGAAGGACACGCAGGGGUGAUGGCUGGAAGCAAUACAUCACCUCGGAACAGAUCAGAACCGUGUCUCAGAUUACAUCUGCCGUAAUGGGAAAUCCAUAUGGAAAAUGAAGCCUGCUGAUAAAUAUUUGGUAGUUAUGCACUGAAAAGGACUGCACUUUUGUAUCACAGCAUAAACGUGUGUACUCCUGGGCCUUCAUCAGACUGUCUCAAAAGCAUCGACUGUAUCUACUUGUUUACUUUCAUGUAACCUUAAGUGCCUCAGCCAUGGAAUUGUUCUUAAUAUCAUUUAUUUAAAUUCAGUGAGAAGAAUUGCAAAAAUAUUAAGUUCCAUUUUCAUGUUUUAUGAGCUUUAUUUGUAAGUGUUCCGUUUGACACCCCAGUAGUUUUGCACAAUUCCUCACUCCAACUGUGCUGUGAGGUGCAGUGCAUUCCUGGGCCAUCGUGCUGUGCACUGUGCUCAUCAACUUCUGAGGGAACGCCCCAAAUUGUGAGGUGAAUCCCACAUAGUUCAAAAAUACCUAAUUUUAACAUAGUGUCAGAGGAGGAAAUUGCAGAUAAAAAUACAUUGAAUGUUUUUUUUGCUGUGACUACAACUUAAUCCCUUUUUUACCUAUUUACCCCAGUGUUAUUUGCUCUCCCUGAACACAGUGUAGUGCUGAGCACAACAGUGGUGCAGCAGUAGAGUGGGUCAUGGGGUGCCCUGCAGAUGCUAGGAGGGCAACUGUGGACCUGCAGACCUCAAACUUUCCCAUCAGCAUGUUUGUUUUCCAUCAAAUCUUUAAUUCAAGUUGAGUAGGAGAAAGUACAAGUAAUGGAAUGGGCUGCAGACAGGUGUGAGCUUGCCACAGGCAACGCUGAACUUUGUUUAUAAGCAAUUUAGGUUAUUUUUGAGCUCUAGUAAAUGAUUCUUUCUUUUUUUUUUCUAGUUCACACUUUUUUUUUUUUGUGACUGGAUAAAGUAAAACACUGAGGAAGUUUCAAAAGGACCAAGUGGGUCCUGAUCCUGUAUCUACUCCUAUUUGGACACCAAAAUGAUGGAUGUGCCAUUCUGCUGUGCGAAGUGAGUGUGAAACUACCCGGACACCUCUUGGGUAGCUGUAACUUGCAU